UCCAUUUGUUGGGAGAAGUUAAAAACUUCUUGCUCUUGAGGAUUCAUGAAGAAAAUUGAUGAAGAAGAUGAAGAACUGAAGGAGUUGCAGAGAAAACUUCGAGAGAGGGUUUAGGGUUUAAGUGUGAGUGAGAGUGAUAAGUGUGAAAAGUGAGAGAAAGUGUUUAUAUACUAAGGGUAAAAACACAUGCAAAACGACACACAUACCAGCGUUAGCACAAAAACCAAAAUAGCACGUUUG
rnacentral:lncRNA from 1 species